rnacentral:tRNA from 1 species
AUUAAAUUAGUUUAAAAAUAAAACAUCUAAUUUUCAUUUAGAAAAUAAUUUUAUAUUAUUUAAUU